CCAAGAAUAGUGUUUGAUGUAUACAAAUUCGAAGGGAAAAUGUCUUGAUGAAGCGUGGAGGAGAGAAUUGCAAUUGGUCUCGAAUCCACAAAGCAACCAAUUGAAGAACUUGACCAAGAUGACAUGUGACCAGAUUCGAAGGGAAAAUAUAAUGCUACUGUGCUUGCUAUAUGUGCAAUCGAAGCUAAGGAAGGAGAAAAUUAAGGAUCAACGGUAAACAAAGGAA
rnacentral:misc_RNA from 1 species